GACGAACGCUGGCGGCGUGCUUAACACAUGCAAGUCGAACGAUGAACUGGAGCCUGCUCCAGGGAUUAGUGGCGAACGGGUGAGUAACACGUGAGUAACCUGCCCUUGACUCUGGGAUAAGCGCUAGAAAUGGCGUCUAAUACCGGAUACGAGCUUCAGCCGCAUGGCUAGGAGUGGGAAAGAAUUUUGGUCAAGGAUGGACUCGCGGCCUAUCAGCUAGUUGGUGAGGUAAUGGCUCACCAAGGCGACGACGGGUAGCCGGCCUGAGAGGGUGACCGGCCACACUGGGACUGAGACACGGCCCAGACUCCUACGGGAGGCAGCAGUGGGGAAUAUUGCACAAUGGGCGAAAGCCUGAUGCAGCAACGCCGCGUGAGGGAUGACGGCCUUCGGGUUGUAAACCUCUUUUAGUAGGGAAGAAGCGAAAGUGACGGUACCUGCAGGAAAAGCACCGGCUAACUACGUGCCAGCCGCCGCCGUAA
rnacentral:rRNA from 1 species